rnacentral:lncRNA from 1 species
GUCCAAUUCCACCACCCCGAUUCCAGGACCCCGAUUCCACCCUGUAGAAGCUUUGUUCUUUCGCUCUUUGCAAUAAAUCUUGCUGCUGCUCACUCUUUGGGUCCGCACUACCCUUAUGGGCUGUAACACUCACAGCAAAUGUCCGCAGCUUCACUCGUGAAGCCAGUGAGGCCACGAACCCACCAGGAGGAACGAACAACUCUGGACAAGCCACCUUUAAGAGCUGUAACACUCACUGCAAAGGUCUGUGGUUUAACUCCUGAAGUCAGCAAGACCAUGAACCCACCAAAAGGAAGAAACUCUGGACACAUUUGAAAAUCUGAAGGAAAAAACUCUGGACACACCAUCUUUAAGAACUGUAACACUCACCACGAGGGUCUGCAGCUUCAUUCUUGAAGGCAGCAAGACCAAGAACCCAUUGGAAGGAACCAAUUCCGGACACAGAAUCAGGUGUGGGAGUGCUGCUUUCUGAUGUUGAUACCAUUGAAGAGGGAGCAUUGCAGGGCUUGUGGUUCCACCUUUAAGGGAGCAUGUGGGAAGCUGAUUAUGAAUGAGCAUAAGAAAAACUGGAUAAUGGAGAUCUCAGUGCCUCUGCCAGGAUAAAGGGCCAUUGCUAAAUUAAUGCUGGCAGGAACAGCGCUACAUCAGAAAAAGCAAGCUGCCAUGCUGUUGGUAGCAUUUUAAAAAGACAAGCAUGGCGAAGAAAGGAUAUCUCUGCCAAGCAGCCAGGAACAUCCUGAGGCCUGUCAGCAGCCCUUUCCGUGAAACUGGAAAUGGAUCUUCCCCUUGUGAUGACUACAGUCCCAACUGAGAGCUUGACUGCAACCUCAUGAGCAGCCCUGAGCCAGAGACACUGAGCUAAUUUCUGCCUGAAUUCCUGAUUCAUGGAAAUUAUGGGCUAAUAAAUAUAUCUCAUUUUAAGCUACUAACUUCUGAGGUGAUUUGUUAUACAGAAUAUAUAUAUAUAUAUAUAUAUAUAUAUAUAUAUAGAGAGAGAGAGAGAGAGAGAGAGAGAUCAAAUCCAAGAUCAUUUUUCCCCCAAAUUUCACAUUUUCUCAGUAUUUAUUCAGUGGAUUAUGCCCCUGGUGUUCUAUCUACAGAUUCAUUGCUAAAUCCAAGAGAUAAUAUAUAUAUACACACACACACACACACACAUAUAUAUAUAUACACACACAUAUAUAUAUAUAGAGAGAGAGUAACAGAUAUUCUGGCAUUCUUCAGAAACUGUAUGAAAAACUAGAGAGAGGCAGAGAGUGAGAGUAAGCAAAAGAGAGAGAGAGAGAGAGGAGAGAGGAAAUCAAGAGAGAAAAGUAAGCUAAAUAGGUACUUCUCAUCUACGAACUAAAUUUUCAAAAAAUGUCCUGAAGGAGUAGAAUCAGAUAACACUUGUAAUACUCUAAAAAAGGUGCCGUGUUUUUUGGAGACAACCAAUAGACCUUUUUAUUUCAAAUUUUCUUACUACAGGUUCGUAGAAGCCAAUGAAAAAUACAGAAACAUAGUAAUUGUGUAAUUCACAAUAUCUGUAAUAUUUUUUACAAGUUACUUACAGUGAGAGAUAAAUCAAUUUUUUUCCAUGCAGAGUCUUUGAAGCCAUUUAUCAUUUGCCUUUAGUUUCUCCAUCAUACAAUCACCACAGUUUGGAAUAAAAUUAUAAACAACUGAAUAUAUUUGUUAAAUAAAACGACAACUACAAACAUUCCUAAGAUUUAUUAUUUCCUAAUUCAUUUUUCUUCUUUUUAAAAAGUGG